rnacentral:rRNA from 1 species
UACAGAGGGGGCAAGCGUUGUUCGGAAUUACUGGGCGUAAAGGGCGCGUAGGCGGCCCGCUAAGUCGAACGUGAAAUCCCCGGGCUCAACCCGGGAACUGCGUCCGAUACUGGCAGGCUUGAAUCCGGGAGAGGGAUGUGGAAUUCCAGGUGUAGCGGUAGAAAUGCGUAGAUAAUCUGGAGGAACACCGGUGGCGAAGGCGGCAUCCUGGACCGGUAUUGACGCUGAUGGCG